GCCGAACUAGCUCAGCGGGCAGAGCGCCGAUCUCAUACGUCGGAGGUGCCUGGUUCGAGACCAGGGUUCGGUAC
rnacentral:tRNA from 1 species